rnacentral:rRNA from 1 species
AUGGCUCCGAAAGCCGACAAGGGGAAGGGCGUGAAAUCGGUUGAGGCGCAGCGGCUCGCGGCGCUGCGAAAGGAGCGGGCCAUCUUCCCCCCUCAGCUUGCCGCGAAGGAGCUGAGGGAGUACUACUACCUCUUCUGGUCGACGGAGACGCGAGCGCAUCCGCGCACGAAGGUACUCCCGGCUGCUGCUUCGGAACUGGCUCCAAACGGAUAUCCCUUCUUCGCGCUGUUCUUCUACUGCGGGCUCUGCCCGCCCUUCUCUGAAUUUUUCUGUGACAUCAUGAACACCUACGGGUUCCGCCUCCUUGACUUCACCCCCAACGUCGUUCUGACCAUGGCAGUUUUCGCACAUCUCUGCGAAAACUUUAUCGGAGUCCAUCCAAACGUAGUUUUUUUUCGCCACUUCUUUAUGCCCCGAGUCGAGAGAGGAGAGCCUUUAUCCGGCGGAAUCGCCUGGAUCUCGAGAGUCGGCAAGAAGGAAGCUUAUCUGAAGGGAGAGCUCCGCAGCAAGUGGGAGGAAUGGAGAGCAGAGUGGUGCUGGAUUGUCGAGGAGAACCCGCAGCCAUUUACCGCCCUGCGACAAGCCCCAAUAGCGCGCGGCAACGAUUGGAGCAACGUGGCCCCGGAAGACGAUAGGUUGAAGAUUGCCGUCACCCGGAUCCUUCGCCUCAGGCUUGCCGGGCUCACCGUAGGCGCCGUUGGCGCAGAUUUUCUUCACCGCCGCAUCGCCCCCCUGCAGGAGAGGAGGAGACCCGCCUGGGAGUUCCAGAACUCGGCGGAUAUCAUGAGGCUGCGCCCGGGCCUCAACUUCAACUUCACUGUCCUGGAGCUGGACGUGAUGCUCCUGGAACUGUUCAAGCGCGAUCCUCAACAUCCAUUCAUGUUGCCGAGGGGUGUCGUUCCGUUGUGCAACAACUCCUCGCUCGACCGCAUCCGUGCAAUGAUGCCGCUGUGCGAUUCGCAUGAAAUUGUCCCAACUUGGCAAGAGCCUGCAGAGACCCUUUUUGCAUCAGUUGGGCCAAGCCCAGGUAUACGUGCAGCCUACCAAACAAACUGUAUUUUGCUUGGUGGGAGCGAGCCAGAUGCAACACAGGGAAUCAAACACGCCCAAAGCACCUUUUAUAGAACAAACAUGCUCAUGGUUUGGUGUGAUUUUGAUUUGUUGUCUGGGUUCAGGUAG